CAUAGGGUUUUGUUUUUUUUUCUUUCUUCUUUUCCAAGUUGAGCACUUGAUCAUCUUGUGGUCAUCACCAUCAUCACCAUGAUCAUCACUUGCUCCAUCACUUGGCAUGUACCAACCUCAUUAAGUCUACACACACUUAGUAUAGAGGUUAGUAUUAGGGUUUCAUCAAUUAUCCAAAACCAAACUAGGGCUUUCACCUGCAAACAACACAACCUGAGGCUUCGGUUGCCAACAACAAUCCUCACAAUAGUCAAGCAAAGCAAGAAAUAGUCCACCAUCAACUUUGGUAAUGAACAACAAUGCAAUCAUCCCAAGCAGAGGAAGAAUAUUGACAAUUAUAAGAGGAAACAACAUUGAGCAUGGAAGCAACAUUCAGAAGAG
rnacentral:lncRNA from 1 species